rnacentral:rRNA from 1 species
GACGAACGCUGGCGGCGUGCUUAACACAUGCAAGUCGAGCGAUGAAAUUCCUUCGGGAAUGGAUUAGCGGCGGACGGGUGAGUAACACGUGGGCAACCUGCCUUGUAGAGGGGGAUAGCCUUCCGAAAGGAAGAUUAAUACCGCAUAACAUCAGUUUACGGCAUCGUAAAUUGAUCAAAGGAGCAAUCCGCUACAAGAUGGGCCCGCGGCGCAUUAGCUAGUUGGUGAGGUAACGGCUCACCAAGGCGACGAUGCGUAGCCGACCUGCGAGGGUCAUCGGCCGCAUUGGGACUGCGACACGGCCCAGACUUCUACGGGAGGCAGCAGUGGGGAAUAUUGCACAAUGGGGGAAACCCUGAUGCAGCAACGCCGCGUGAGUGAUGAAGGCCUUCGGGUUGUAAAGCUCUGUCUUCAGGGACGAUAAUGACGGUACCUGAGGAGGAAGCCACGGCUAACUACGUGCCAGCCGCCGCAGUAA